CGAGACCUCAGGUCAGGCGGGGUUACCCGCUGAGUUUAAGCAUAUCAAUAAGCGGAGGAAAAGAAA
rnacentral:rRNA from 1 species